AGACAUGCGAUGAAGAGAAGAGUAGGCAGAUGCCAAGGCCAAAGAGAGCUCCCGGUGGUGAGAAGGGAGUGCCAAAGAGCUGCUGAAGAUGGACUCUGAGCAGGGAAGGCCGAAUGAUGAGGCAUCCCGGGUGCGCCCGAUACAGCGCUCAAGUAUCAAGGCCUUAUGGCUGGCGUACCUAUAGAGGUUCAUGCAGCAAUGCAUGGAUAAAAUUGGGUGGUAACACGAAUCUUUCGUCCCUUUA
rnacentral:ncRNA from 1 species